GCAUCUGGACUUGAAGGCAUGUUCAUCUAAACAUUUGCCAAACCCCAUCUUACACAUUUCUCUUGCACUCAUUCCAUGACCUGUUUUGAUAGUUGAUUUGACCUUCGAAUUGAAAAAGGUUGUCAAGUUUUUUUUUUAGGACGGCUCCUUUACACCUUAAUGGUUCUUUUCCAAUGUGCAUGUAAUGCCUACAUGGAAAAGGAUAUGGCCUGAAUUCUAUUAUCAGGCCAAAUUUUGAGGUCAGCAAAAUCAAACCAAAUCAUAUUUUGUGGUUUGAUUUGGUUUCAAAUCAUUGAUUUAGCGACACAAAAAUAAUAGCUUUCAAACAAGUGAAAAAAUUAAUAUAUUAAUUUCAAAUUUCACUAAAACACUUGCAUUGAAACCUUUCAAACAUAAAUGUUGGCGUCAACAGAUCCUGCCUCUACUUCUCUCCAAGCGUAUGUUACAUGGGCACUUGGAGCGCAUGCAGACAUGCAAGAAUACUCUCAAAACACAAAGGGAUAUGAGAGGUCACGAUCAUACGUACUUUGAUGCUCAAGUCAGUUAGAAUAAUGAGAUUAAAGUGUAUUGGGUAUGGAAACGUCAUGUAGAGGAGAGAAUAUAAUUUAGAUUCGGAUCCGUAUUUUGUGAGAGGGAAGUUUGAAUAUUUAUAAAUGAGAGAAAUGAAUGAAGGCUUCGUGGAUGCUUGACGCAUGACUUCAUCCAAUAGCUUAUUGGUCAAGUUCUAUCACGUCACAAUGUCGUGUCCUAGGCACCAAUAGGUCUAUGACCCCGUAUGCUAUCUUACGUGGGUAAAAGUAAGUUUGCACUAAAUCACCAUUUUAAUUAUUUCUCACAUGACUCCAGAAGUAGAAUCACCAUUUACAUAAAGUUUGACCAUUGCCCUCCAUCGCUUCAGCGAUGAAGACCCAUGUUAUGUCAUAAGCAUUAUGAAUCCAAAGUUCACAUUGCAUUUAAUAAAUUGCAAAUUUCGAUUAUUCAUUUCUUGGAUUCUUCAAAUUCUCUUUGAAUUUAUUGGCAAUUGACAUCUAUAAAAAUAUAUGUUAAUUGAAAAUGCGGGGAAAAAAUAAAUAUAUUUUGAAAAAGUAAAAUAAAGAGCUUGUUUGAGUGUAUCGAAAGUCUUACUAUUUAAAUUUCAAAAUAUUUUCUAUUAUAUACAAGAUGCUUCUAUAAUUAAAUAAAAAAGACUAUUGAAGAGGUUCUUACAUGCAACAAACUUGACUCUUAAAACACAUUAAUAAACCGGGAUAAAUCUCACAUAAACUUAACUAAAAAAUAUUAAGCCCCUGUUUGUUUCCCAUUAUUUACCCAUCAAAAUAAAAAAAUAUGAUAGUUAUCCAUCACAUCAAACCACCAUAUUUGACGUUCCAUCUCUUGUGUAGCGCCCAUACGGCUAUAUUUUUCCUUCUCAUUUUUACAUUAAUGUGUAUCAAACGGGGCCUAAGUUUGUACCAGGGUAGCAUAAA
rnacentral:lncRNA from 1 species